rnacentral:rRNA from 1 species
AGAAGUGAAACCACUCAGCGCCGAUGGUAGUGUGGGGUCUCCCAUGCGAGAGUAGGUCAUCGUCAGGC